UAACCUGCCUCAUACAGGGGAUAACAGUUAGAAAUGACUGCUAAUACCGCAUAAGCGCAUAGCAUUGCAUGAUGCCGUGUGAAAAACUCUGGUGGUAUGAGAUGGACCCGCGUCUGAUUAGCUAGUUGGUGAGGUAACGGCCCACCAAGGCGACGAUCAGUAGCCGACCUGAGAGGGUGACCGGCCACAUUGGGACUGAGACACGGCCCAA
rnacentral:rRNA from 1 species